rnacentral:tRNA from 1 species
GUCUCAAUAGCUUAGUGGUUAGAGCGCUAGCACGGAACGCCAGAGGCCCUGUGUUCGAGUCCCAGUUGAGAUU